rnacentral:rRNA from 1 species
GUUGCCCGUGAAGGGCGUAUGGUGGAUGCCUUGGCAGACAGUACCGAUGAAGGACGUGUGAGGCUGCGAUAAGCCUCGGGGAGCCGCCAGCAGGGCUUUGAUCCGAGGAUUUCCGAAUGGGGGAACCCGCCGGCCGUCAUGGGCCGGCACCGCGUUCGCGCGGGGGGUACGCAGGGAAGUGAAACAUCUCAGUACCUGCAGGAAAGGAUAUUCCGUGAGUAGUGGCGAGCGAAAGCGGAUCAGGCCAAACCGCGCGCGUGUGACAGGCGCCAGCCGUUGCGCGCGUGGUGUUGAGGGAGCGUGUGUCCGGGUCCUGGCGGGCCCGGCCGGAGUGAUAAAACGGCGUGUGAGGCGAACCGGAUUGAAUGCCGGGCCGCAGAGGGUGAUGGCCCCGUAGCCGAACGUGCGUCGUCUCCCGGUCGCGUCUCCCAAGUAGCACGGGCCCCGUGGAAUCCCGUGCGAAUCUGCCCGGACCGUCGGGUAAGCCUAAGUAUAUCUGUCUGACCGAUAGCGUACUAGUACCGUGAGGGAAAGGUGAAAAGCACCCCGGGAGGGGAGUGAAACAGUUCCUGAAACCGUGCGCCUACAAUCCGUCGGAGCCUCCUUGGGGGGUGACGGCGUGCCUAUCGAAAAAUGAGUCUGCGAGUCAGUGGUGCGUGGCGAGCGUAAGCCGUGUGGUGUACGCGUAGCGAAGGCGAGUCUUAAAAGGCGUUUGAGUCGCGCGCCCUGGACCCGAAGCGGGAUGAUCUAGCCCUGGGCAGGUUGAAGCGCGGGUAAGACCGCGUGGAGGACCGAACCCACCUGGGUUGAAAACCGGGGGGAUGACUUGGGGCUAGGGGUGAAAGGCCAAUCAAAUUCCGUGAUAGCUGGUUCUCUCCGAAAUGCAUUUAGGUGCAGCGUCGGGUGAUUGCGUCCGGGGGGUAGAGCUACUGGAUGCUUGCGGGCCCAUAUCGGGUACCAACAGCAACCAAACUCCGAAUACCCGUGACGCGUAUCCCGGCAGUGAGUCGGCGGGGGAUAAGCUCCGUCGUCGAAAGGGAAACAGCCCAGACCGUCGUCUAAGGUCCCCAAGCGCGUGCUAAGUGGGAAAGGAUGUGGAGUCGCAUAGACAGCCAGGAGGUUGGCUCAGAAGCAGCCACCCUUGAAAGAGUGCGUAACAGCUCACUGGUCUAGUGGUUCCGCGCCGACAAUGUAGCGGGGCUCAAGCACGCCACCGAAGACGCGGCAGCGUUUCGUACGCUGGGUAGGAGAGCGUCCCCUGCGGGGCGAAGCGGCGGAGUAAUCCUGCCGUGGACCGUUGGGGAGUGAGAAUGCAGACAUGAGUAGCGAGAGGCGGGUGCGAAUCCCGCCCGCUGGAUGACCAAGGGUUCCGGGGCCACGUUCGUCGUCCCCGGGUGAGUCGGGUCCUAAGGCGAGGCCGACAGGCGUAGUCGAAUGGAUGAACGGGCUGAUAUUCCCGUACCGGCAGCGAACCGAAACAACCGAGGCCUGGGGUGCUAACCUCCGGGUCCGUGCCGUCUCCCCUUUCGGGGGGUCGCGGCGCGGGCGCGUUGGGAUCCCCCCUCGUAGUAGGUCAGCGCAGGAGUGACGCAGAAGGGUAGCCGGCCGCGGAGGUGGUUUUCCGUGGCCAAGCACGCAGCCCGUCCCCCAGGCAAAUCCGGGGGGCAUCAGGGCGAGGUGCGAUGGUGGGGCCCGUAUGGGCCGAAUCCGGUGAUCCCGGCUGCCGAGAAAAGCUUCGGCGUCAGGCUGUCAGCCGCCCGUACCCCAAACCGACACUGGUGGUCAGGUAGAGAAUACCAAAGCGAUCGAGCGAAUCCUGGUCAAGGAACUCGGCAAAUUACUCCCGUGCCUUCGGUAUAAGGGAGACCCCUGCGGGUGAACCAGCUAGCCUGGGGAGCGUGCGGGGGUGGCACAGACCAGGGGGUAGCGACUGUUUACCAAAAACACAGGAGCGUGCGAAGGCGCAAGCCGCUGUAUACGCUCUGACGCCUGCCCGGUGCCGGAAGGUUAAGAGGAUCCGUCAGCUUCUGCGAAGCGGUGAAUUCAAGCCCCGGUAAACGGCGGUGGUAACUAUAACCAUCCUAAGGUAGCGAAAUUCCUUGUCGGGUAAGUUCCGACCUGCACGAAUGGCGUAAUGAUGGCCAGGCUGUCUCCACCCGAGACUCAGUGAAAUUGAACUCGCUGUGAAGAUGCAGUGUACCCGCGGCAAGACGGAAAGACCCCGUGAACCUUUACUAUAGCUUGACACUGAACAUUGAGCCUUGAUGUGUAGGAUAGGUGGGAGGCUUUGAAGUGUGGACGCCAGUCUGCAUGGAGCCGACCUUGAAAUACCACCCUUUAAUGUUUGAUGUUCUAACGUUGACCCGUAAUCCGGGUUGCGGACAGUGUCUGGUGGGUAGUUUGACUGGGGCGGUCUCCUCCUAAAGAGUAACGGAGGAGCACGAAGGUUGGCUAAUCCUGGUCGGACAUCAGGAGGUUAGUGCAAUGGCAUAAGCCAGCUUGACUGCGAGCGUGACGGCGCGAGCAGGUGCGAAAGCAGGUCAUAGUGAUCCGGUGGUUCUGAAUGGAAGGGCCAUCGCUCAACGGAUAAAAGGUACUCCGGGGAUAACAGGCUGAUACCGCCCAAGAGUUCAUAUCGACGGCGGUGUUUGGCACCUCGAUGUCGGCUCAUCACAUCCUGGGGCUGAAGUAGGUCCCAAGGGUAUGGCUGUUCGCCAUUUAAAGUGGUACGCGAGCUGGGUUUAGAACGUCGUGAGACAGUUCGGUCCCUAUCUGCCGUGGGCGCUGGAGAACUGAGGGGGGCUGCUCCUAGUACGAGAGGACCGGAGUGGACGCAUCACUGGUGUUCGGGUUGUCAUGCCAAUGGCACUGCCCGGUAGCUAAAUGCGGAAGAGAUAAGUGCUGAAAGCAUCUAAGCACGAAACUUGCCCCGAGAUGAGUUCUCCCUGACUCCUUGAGAGUCCUGAAGGAACGUUGAAGACGACGACGUUGAUAGGCCGGGUGUGUAAGCGCAGCGAUGCGUUGAGCUAACCGGUACUAAUGAACCGUGAGGCUUAACCUU